rnacentral:rRNA from 1 species
AACGAACGCUGGCGGCAUGCCUAACACAUGCAAGUCGAACGAAGCCUUCGGGCUUAGUGGCGCACGGGUGCGUAACGCGUGGGAAUCUGCCCUUGGGUUCGGAAUAACAGUUAGAAAUGACUGCUAAUACCGGAUGAUGUCUUCGGACCAAAGAUUUAUCGCCCAAGGAUGAGCCCGCGUAGGAUUAGGUAGUUGGUGGGGUAAUGGCCCACCAAGCCGACGAUCCUUAGCUGGUCUGAGAGGAUGAUCAGCCACACUGGGACUGAGACACGGCCCAGACUCCUACGGGAGGCAGCAGUGGGGAAUAUUGGACAAUGGGCGAAAGCCUGAUCCAGCAAUGCCGCGUGAGUGAUGAAGGCCUUAGGGUUGUAAAGCUCUUUUACCAGGGAUGAUAAUGACAGUACCUGGAGAAUAAGCUCCGGCUAACUCCGUGCCAGCAGCCGCCGUAA